AAGACACUAGUAAAAUGAUUACUCUGCCUUGUCGAGGCAGCAUCGUAGGUUAAACCCCUGCGUGUCUUA
rnacentral:tRNA from 1 species